GGGCAGAUGGCAGAGCGGUAAUGCACCUGACUGUAGAUCAGGCGUCCAGAGAGACACCGGAGGUUCAACUCCUUCUCUGCCCACCA
rnacentral:tRNA from 1 species